GACGAACGCUGGCGGCGUGCCUAAUACAUGCAAGUAGAGCGCUGAAGGAGGAGCUUGCUUCUCUGGAUGAGUUGCGAACGGGUGAGUAACGCGUAGGUAACCUGCCUGGUAGCGGGGGAUAACUAUUGGAAACGAUAGCUAAUACCGCAUAAGAGUAGAUGUUGCAUGACAUUUGCUUAAAAGGUGCAAUUGCAUCACUACCAGAUGGACCUGCGUUGUAUUAGCUAGUUGGUGGGGUAACGGCUCACCAAGGCGACGAUACAUAGCCGACCUGAGAGGGUGAUCGGCCACACUGGGACUGAGACACGGCCCAGACUCCUACGGGAGGCAGCAGUAGGGAAUCUUCGGCAAUGGACGGAAGUCUGACCGAGCAACGCCGCGUGAGUGAAGAAGGUUUUCGGAUCGUAAAGCUCUGUUGUAAGAGAAGAACGAGUGUGAGAGUGGAAAGUUCACACUGUGACGGUAUCUUAACAGAAAGGGACGGCUAACUACGUG
rnacentral:rRNA from 1 species